rnacentral:rRNA from 1 species
GACGAACGCUGGCGGCGUGCUUAACACAUGCAAGUCGAACGAAAAGAGGGAAAGAGCUUGCUCUUUCCGGAAUUGAGUGGCAAACGGGUGAGUAACACGUAAACAACCUGCCUUCAGGAUGGGGACAACAGACGGAAACGACUGCUAAUACCGAAUAAGUUCCAAGAGCCGCAUGGCCCAUGGAAGAAAAGGUGGCCUCUACCUGUAAGCUAUCGCCUGAAGAGGGGUUUGCGUCUGAUUAGCUGGUUGGGGGGGUAACGGCCCACCAAGGCGACGGUCAGUAGCCGGUCUGAUAGGAAGAACGACCACACUGGAACUGAGACACGGUCCAGACUCCUACGGGAGGGAGCAGUGGGGAAUCUUCCGCAAGAGGCGAAAGCCUGACGGAGCAACGCCGCGGGAGUGAUGACGGCCUUCGGGUUGUAAAACUCUGUGAUCCGGGACGAAAAGGCAGAGUGCGAAGAACAAACUGCAUUGACGGUACCGGAAAAGCAAGCCACGGCUAACUACGUG